rnacentral:rRNA from 1 species
AGUGAACGCUGGCGGUAGGCCUAACACAUGCAAGUCGAACGGCAGCACAGUAAGAGCUUGCUCUUACGGGUGGCGAGUGGCGGACGGGUGAGGAAUACAUCGGAAUCUACUUUUUCGUGGGGGAUAACGUAGGGAAACUUACGCUAAUACCGCAUACGACCUACGGGUGAAAGCAGGGGAUCUUCGGACCUUGCGCGAUUGAAUGAGCCGAUGUCGGAUUAGCUAGUUGGCGGGGUAAAGGCCCACCAAGGCGACGAUCCGUAGCUGGUCUGAGAGGAUGAUCAGCCACACUGGAACUGAGACACGGUCCAGACUCCUACGGGAGGCAGCAGUGGGGAAUAUUGGACAAUGGGCGCAAGCCUGAUCCAGCCAUACCGCGUGGGUGAAGAAGGCCUUCGGGUUGUAAAGCCCUUUUGUUGGGAAAGAAAAGCAGCAGGUUAAUACCCCGCCGUUCUGACGGUACCCAAAGAAUAAGCACCGGCUAACUUUGUG